GAAAACAACAGAAGAACGACCCAUGUUGCCUGCCCCUCAGUGAUCUCACAAUCUAAUGGGGGCACGCAGGAAGGAAAAAACGAUCUACAAAUUGGAUAAGGAGGCGGAUAUUACAGGAAGUAGUCCGACUAUACCGGUGCGAAAUAGAAUAAGUAAUUGGCUAUGUAAAUGGAAAUCAGCAUAGGGAGGGGAAUCCAUUUUUUAAACAUCCAAAGGUUUACAAUUUUCUUUCGACAUCAGUAAAAUGUACAAGAAUCUCUGAGCUGGAAAGAGUGAUGGCUGUGAAAUCCUUAUUGGAGUCAGAGGCAACAUCUUCAAGAGCAUAAUACAGUUUUCCUUCCUCGCUGUCAGCAAUAUGUCCUCGACUGUCACCCUCACCGGUUUCUGAGAGCCAGACCCCAAUCGGACCCAUGCUGUGACACCGGACUGUUUCUACAGAUUGAAUUUGCACUAACCUUAAAAUGCUUCUUUUUAAACACGGGAUUGAUGACACAAAUGAAAACGGUGGAAAGAAAA